CUGGCUGUUUUCUUCUCUUCCCGGGAAAUAUGGCCAGAUUAUUGCUGACCUAUCUGGAGGCAACAGGAACAUGGUAAUCUGUUCUUAUUCUAAUGGAUCUUCCAUAACGUUUCCCACAAAGAAUUACUAACCAUUCAUGACCUUCAUCAAAUAACGACUCUGUGGCUACUGAACUCUGCUUUCAACUGGGAGGUGGUUCACAGAUAAGGCUUCCAUUGGAAACAUCACAUAAUGGAUUUUCUCCCCAAGUAUGUUGCCUAUCACUAGGCCUGUCAAAGGUGGAUGCACAUAGACCAAAUCCAGUGGAGUGACUUUUUCCUUUGUAAUUUACCUUCUGUGGAAGGUAGGUAGGAUGUCCUCCAAUGAUGCCCACAUCCUAAUUCAUGGAACCUAUGACUAUGUUAUGUUACACAACAAAAUGGACUUUGUGAUGUAAUUAAGAAGAGAGACAAUCCUAAUCACACAAGACCUUAAAAGCUGAGAACUUCCUCCUGCUGGGGACAGGACAGAUGAGGCAGAAGGGGAGGUUAGGGAGGUUUGAAGAGUGAGAAGAACUUCUGCAGUGGCUGACUUGGAAGAUGAAGGAGGUUAUGAACCAGGGAAUGGGGGCAGCCUCUAGAGGCUGAGAACCUGCUGACACCUACCCACAACCGCUAAGGAAAUGAAGACUUUAAUUCCACAACUGCAUGCAACUAAACUCAGCCAACAACCUGAAUAAGUCGGAAAAAGGCUUCUCCAGAGCCUCCAGAUAAGAGGCCAGGCUGGCGACACCUUGAUUUUGACCUUGUGAGACCUAGAGCAGAGAAACUAGCCAAGAUCACUCAGACUUCUGAUCUACAGAACUGUGAGACCGUAAAUUUAUGUUGUAUUAAGCCACUAAUUGCGUGGGAAUUUGUUACAGGAGCAAUAGAAAAUGAAUACACCUUCUGAUGUAGUUUAAUCAGUUGACAUUAGAUCACGAAGAAGUUUUUUACAAUGAGCAGAACACUCAACCUGAAAGCAGAAUGGAUUGAGUCACUGCAGCGUGGCAGUGGAAUGGUGUUUGAUGUUGGCAAAGGAAACAUGUACUUCUAGACUGGACAGUUUUCCCUUAGUUUACAGUUUCCAAAUAGAGACAUCACUUUGAAAUAACAUGGAGAACAUACAUGGAUGUACUGAACGAAGAAUAAAGUCUGUGUUGCAGUCCUGUCUCCAUUGACUUUUACAAAUAUGGCUUUGGAUGAAUCACCUAAGUUUUAUUUUUGAGAAUUUACGCUUACCAUGUAUAAAAUGAUAUUGCUAAUAUGUUUGCUGCCUACCCCAUUGGGUUUUGUGAGGAAUAAAUGAUAAUGCUAAGAAAAAGGCA
rnacentral:lncRNA from 1 species